UGUCUAGUGGGGACAGCUUCUGCCAGUGGAACUGUUGUCUACGUGGGGACAGCUUCUGCCAGUGGGACUGCUGUCUAGGUGGGGACAGCUUCUGCCAGUGGGACUGCUGUCUA